rnacentral:rRNA from 1 species
GACGAACGCUGGCGGCGUGCUUAACACAUGCAAGUCGAACGGAAAGGCCCAGCUUUUGUGGGGUGCUCGAGUGGCGAACGGGUGAGUAACACGUGAGUAACCUGCCCUUGACUUUGGGAUAACUUCAGGAAACUGGGGCUAAUACCGGAUAGGAGCUCCUGCUGCAUGGUGGGGGUUGGAAAGUUUCGGCGGUUGGGGAUGGACUCGCGGCUUAUCAGCUUGUUGGUGGGGUAGUGGCUUACCAAGGCUUUGACGGGUAGCCGGCCUGAGAGGGUGACCGGCCACAUUGGGAGUGAGAGACGGCGCGGGUCCGCACGGGGGCCAGCAGGGGGGAUUGUGGCAGAAGGGGCGGAGGCAGGAGGCAGCGGCGCCGCGUGGGGGAUGCCGGCCUACGGGUUUGAACCGGUUUCCGCAGGAAACGAAGCGGGUGGGAGGGUAUGGGAUAAAGAAGCACCGGCUAACUACGUG